AAUGGGGUAGCCGAAAACCAUUAUAAUCGAGUAGGCG
rfam:Chitinophaga ginsengisegetis strain DSM 18108 genome assembly, contig: LX61DRAFT_scaffold00002.2